rnacentral:rRNA from 1 species
GUGGGGAAUCUUGCGCAAUGGGCGAAAGCCUGACGCAGCCAUGCCGCGUGAAUGAUGAAGGUCUUAGGAUUGUAAAAUUCUUUCACCGGGGACGAUAAUGACGGUACCCGGAGAAGAAGCCCCGGCUAACUUCGUGCCAGCAGCCGCGGUAAUACGAAGGGGGCUAGCGUUGCUCGGAAUUACUGGGCGUAAAGGGCGCGUAGGCGGACAGUUUAGUCAGAGGUGAAAGCCCAGGGCUCAACCUUGGAAUUGCCUUUGAUACUGGCUGUCUUGAGUACGGGAGAGGUGAGUGGAACUCCGAGUGUAGAGGUGAAAUUCGUAGAUAUUCGGAAGAACACCAGUGGCGAAGGCGACUCACUGGCCCGUUACUGACGCUGAGGCGCGAAAGCGUGGGGAGCAAACAGGAUUAGAUACCCUUGUAGUCC